rnacentral:rRNA from 1 species
CUUAACACAUGCAAGUCGAGCGGAAAGGCCCUUUCGGGGGUACUCGAGCGGCGAACGGGUGAGUAACACGUGAGUAAUCUGCCCUUGGCUUUGGGAUAACUACCGGAAACGGUGGCUAAUACCGGAUACGACCAAUCACUGCAUGGUGUGUUGGUGGAAAGUUUUUUCGGCCAGGGAUGUGCUCGCGGCCUAUCAGCUUGUUGGUGGGGUAAUGGCCUACCAAGGCUUCGACGGGUAGCCGGCCUGAGAGGGUGACCGGCCACACUGGGACUGAGACACGGCCCAGACUCCUACGGGAGGCAGCAGUGGGGAAUAUUGGACAAUGGGCGGAAGCCUGAUCCAGCAACGCCGCGUGAGGGAUGACGGCCUUCGGGUUGUAAACCUCUUUCAGUACCGACGAAGCGCCGAUGAUGGUGGUGACGGUAGGUACAGAAGAAGCACCGGCCAACUACGUGCCAGCAGCCGCGGUAAUACGUAGGGUGCGAGCGUUGUCCGGAAUUAUUGGGCGUAAAGGGCUCGUAGGCGGUUUGUCGCGUCGGGAGUGAAAACCAGGGCUUAACUCUGG